rnacentral:lncRNA from 1 species
GGGGGCGGGCUGCCGGCCGAGACUUCUGGAUGGCGGCGGCCGCGGCUCCGCCCCGGGUUCCCACCGCCUGAAGGGCGAGACAAGCCCGACCUGCUACAGGCACUCGUGGGGGUGGGGGAGGAGCGGGGGUCGGUCCGGCUGGUUUGUGGGUGGGAGGCGCUUGUUCUCCAAAAACCGGCGCGAGCUGCAAUCCUGAGGGAGCUGCGGUGGAGGAGGUGGAGAGAAGGCCGCACCCUUCUGGGCAGGGGGAGGGGAGUGCCGCAAUACCUUUAUGGGAGUUCUCUGCUGCCUCCCGUCUUGUAAGGACCGCCCUGGGCCUGGAAGAAGCCCUCCCUCCUUUCCUCCUCGCGUGAUCUCGUCAUCGCCUCCAUGUCGAGUCGCUUCUCGAUUAUGGGCGGGAUUCUUUUGCCUAGGCUUAAGGGGCUAACUUGGUCCCUGGGCGUUGCCCUGCAGGGGAGUGAGCAGCUGUAAGAUUUGAGGGGCGACUCCGAUUAGUUUAUCUUCCCACGGACUAGAGUUGGUGUCGAGGUUAUUGUAAUAAGGGUGGGGUAGGGAAAUGGAGCUUAGUCAUUCACCUGGGGCUGAUUUUAUGCAACGAGACUGCGGAUUAUCACUACUUAUCAUUUUUGGAGCAUUUUUCUAGAGACAGACAUAAAGCAUGAUCACCUGAGUUUUAUACCAUUUGAGACCCUUGCUGCACCACCAAAGUGUAGCAUCAGGUUAAAUCUUAAUAGAAAAAUUUUAGCUUUUGCUUGAGAAACCAGUGCUUCCCUCCCUCACCCUCUCUCCCCAGGCUCUCUACCCCUUUGCAUCCCUACCAGGCAUCUUAGCAACUCUCACUCAUACUUGAUCCCAUUUUCCAUUUGUUGUACUUGCUCCUCUAGUAUUCAGACAUAGCACUAGCUUUCUCCCUCUCUUGAUCUUGGGUAGCCUGGUGUCUCGCGAAACCAGACAGAUUGGUUCCACCACAAAUUAAGGCUUGAGCUGGGGCUUGACUCUUACCCAGCAGUGCUUUUAUUCCUCCCUAGUUCACGUUCUUAAAUGUUUAUCUUGAUUUUCAUUUUAUCCUUUUUCCUUAGCUGGGAUUCUGUCCCUGACCGUCUUCACAGUCCAGGUGAUCUUGACUACUGCUUUACAGAGAAUUGGAUCUGAGGUUAGGCAACAUCUCCCUUUUUCUUCCUCUAAAUACCUCUCAUUUCUGUUCUUACCAGUUAGUAACUGAUCUCAGAUGCCUGUGUGAUAGCUUCCAAAUUGCUGUCUCUGUCUUUAGUGUUAUCUUUUGAUCCAUCUUACAUCUUGUUAGGAUGAUUGUCCUAAAGGAAGAUAGAGCAUGAAAAUGACAGGUGAAACUCCAUUACUGGCUUGUACUGUUUACAGCAAGUUGUCUAACCCGCGGGCCGCAUGGGACCCAGGACAGCUUUGAAUGCGACCCAACACAAAUUCGUAAACUUUCUUAAAGUUUUAGGAGUUUUUUUUGCGGGGUGUUUUUUUUGUUGUUGUUGUCUGUUUUUUUUUUUUGCUCAUCAGCUGUCCUUUAUAUGUGGCCCAAGACAGUUCUUGCAGUGUGGCCCAGGGAAGCCGAAAGAUUGGACACCCCUGGUUUACAGGAUGAAUUCUGUUCUCGUGAAUGUGAUGCAUAAGGUCCCUGGAUAGACUUUCCUCAAUUUAACAGCUUUUUCAUUUUUCACUAUUUUCCACAUACUACACACACAAAUAUGACCUCUCUCCUGAAGUCACAUGGAAUGAAUUGCAGUUACCCAAAUCAUAGAGACGUCAUAUAUCUUUGUGGGGUGGUUCUUUUUGGAAUGCUACCCUUGCUGCUUUUAAUCCUGCAGAUUCAAAUGUCAUCUCCCCUUUGGUCAUGCCUUCCAUGGUCUGUUGUUCUAUGACCCAAACUGCCCUUUUAAAAAAGCAGUUUUCUUCUGACUCCUGAGCAGUUUGUACUGCGUGGGUCAUAGUAAUUCUGGGGUUGUUGUCAUUGCUGAUUUAAAUUACCUUAACUAUUCUGAGCUUUUUGAAGGAAUAGUGUCUUGUACUCCUGAGCUCCUAGUAUACUCUGAUGUCUAGCCAACUUUAAGUAAAUGGAGUGAGCGACAUGUAAAUGUCUUUAUGGUUUGACAUUUUAUUAAUCUUGAGCAUUGGAAAAGUGGCUGGUAUGACUAAAGAACUGAAUUUUUAUUUUUUAUCUAAUUUGAAUUGCAACUGUGGACAGUAUAGCUGUAGCCCCGGACUUGUUCUGUGGAUUACAGAAUACGUGGACAUUGAUGGUUUUCUCUUUUUACUGAGCAGUAAGGAAAUAAAAGCUGAAGCUCUCUGGCCCAUUACAUUUCAUUUAACUGCUUGUUUUGUUUUAUUUAUUAUAUAUUUAGCUGAAAGCUAAGUCCAACAAACCAUUUUUAAAGAUGUGCCUGCCUUGGACAACAGUGAAAGCAAGCGUUAAUGAGUUUGGAUUUCAAAAAAAAAUGCAUAAUGAAUUUUAGGGAGGUGUGGAAACAGGAAGAGAACUAGAACUGGAAGUAAAGCAUUGAAGAUGUGACUGAAUUGCUGCAAUCUCAUGAUCAAAUUUGAAUGGAUGAGGAGUUGCUUUUUAG